rnacentral:lncRNA from 1 species
UUAAAGAGUUUUUUGGAAGGUAAAUGAAAAGUAUCUUGUAUUUCUAAUCAGUGCAAUAAGAAAUUAUGACGGUCUCCUUGUGAGCAAAAUUUCCUUCAAGGCAUUAAAAAUCCAUAUUUUUGUGUGGAUACUUUCAUGAUUAAUAAAAUAUUUUGAUUAACCAUGUUAAUCUCUUUAAAAUCUUCACUGAUCAUUUUUAUAACUUAUAUAUAAUAGACAGUCAAAAUUUGAGUUGAAUAAAAACAUUGAUAUACCUGAGUAAGAAGGAUGCCAUGGAGAUAGUUCUUUCGUAAAUGAUGCUUUAUGUAUUAAAAAAAAGGUUUAACUACUGUGUUUAAAAUAAUAAGCAUUGUACAAAAUGUAUUGAUAAACAAUUGGCUGUUUCAGAAUCUAAAGCAUCAUGGGUGAUUUCAUUGUUUGUACCCCAAAGUGAAAAUAGCGUUACGUCAUUGGUUGAAUUUCCAUUGUUUAUAACGUUUUAAACCAAUCAAAACGCUUUGGUGUACGCUUUUGAAAAUAUUACCCAGGAUGCAUUAGAUUCUGAAACGGCCAAUUGAUUUGUAGUUAAGUUUAAUAAUUUAUUAAGAUUUAUUUCUAUAUUUACUUUGUAACAAUAUUCCUGUUGAGACGUUUUGUAUAAUUUUAUUAAUGUUUUGUUUUUCUUAAUUCUA